CCUCCUUUCUUGGCAUGCUCGUUGUUUUCCUGUGAACGUGUGUGUAUGUGAUGGAGGAAUAAAAAAAAAAAAAAAAAAAGUCCAGUGCUGUGUCUUCGGUGCCAGAAAGUUGAUUGUUUUCUGGUUCUAUCCUCAAUCGCUGGAACAGUG
rnacentral:snoRNA from 1 species